GAUCCAGGGAAAGCUGAAGGUUAAGAAAUCAGAAUACCUCGUUAAAAUGGUCUUUGACAUCGUCAUCUCCUGAAGUUUAGAAUAAUCUACCAGACAGGAGAAAAUCUCGCAUUGGCCUUAUGAGAAAACCGAAUAUUCACCGAGUUGCACAUUUAUGCACAUUCUGAUUCACGUGUAAAUUGCAUAGACUUGCUUAUGCACUAAAGUAUUUAAAUUGUAAAUGUUUAGUAUUGUAAUAAAUAGUUGCAUUUUGUUAUAUACCUAAAUAGAAAUUGUCUCUGUGCAUCCUUCCAUUUAUAGAAAAGGAACAUAUUUAUUGAUUAGUUAUCAACAAGAUGACUUGCAUAGUGAGGGGACUUGUCUUAUCGAGUAUGAAAAGUUCAAGUCCUCUUACUUUGUUCAGACGUUUAUCGAGUAAGCCUCCAAUUCGCUCCAGAAAGAGUUCGUCUUGACGGAGAAAGUUAGCCCUGUAGUCGACAAGCGAUCCUCCAAAUUCCAAGACAAGAGGGUGAUUUCACCUCGUUCCUCUAACCACAACUACAUUUGUCCAACACAACAAAUCUUCUACAUUCCCGAUAUCACGCAUUCCACUUUGGAGCAAGUCGGGGACACUUAUUUGAACGUGAAGUAUCUCAGCACUACCGAUGACUUCAAGGAAGCUUAUCCCAUCAGGGGAAUAGUUUACCGUCCUAACAGGCGGCUAAUGGUGAAUCUAGUGUGUCGUCGGGCUGGCGAUGAUGAGCAGCCCUUUGUCAACAUAAUUUUCAUGUUUGUCAACAGCUCUUAUAACACAUUUAUAUGCAAGAAUGCGAUGGAAGCGUUGUCCCCGACCACGACGUAGUGGAUUUCAUGGACGUUCAUAUUCAUGGACCAGGGUUGAUGCGAGUUUGUCUUUCUCACGGAAAUUUUGCAAAUGUCAACGUCUUAGGGGUCGAUUUUUGCGAACAACACAAACUUAAUUCAAUAAUUAAUUAUCGCGAAAACAAGUUCCUACUCAGCCGAGACAGCCCUGUUUUAUACCGCUGUUCUGACCAUUGAUAUUCAACGCUCUACUGUGGAAGUACUUGAAGCAUAAUAAAGCUGGAUAAGGUCGUAAGAUAUGGGUCACAGGGUGGAAUAAUUGGUACAAAAUGAUGAGCUGAUUUAGAAAGUUUGACACAAUGUUCUUAUUCGCACUUUGAUUAACAAAAAUUAACAAUAUAUAACAGCUAACGAGAACGAGUUCAUUUUUGUGCAUGCGAAAUUAAGGUCGAAUCACAGUCUUGUAACCAUUAAUAUUAAAAACGUACAAAUUGAAGUCAUGUAAUAAAUAUCAGUAU